UGCGCAGGCGGGACUAUAAGUCAGUGGUGAAAUCCUACAGCUUAACUGUAGACCUGCCAUUGAAACUAUAGUUCUUGAGUACAGUUGUAGUGGGCGGAAUGUGUCAUGUAGCGGUGAAAUGCAUAGAGAUGACACAGAACACCGAUCGCGAAGGCAGCUCACUAAGCUGAAACUGACGCUCAGGCACGAAAGCGUGGGUAGCAAACAGGAUUAGAUACCCUGGUAGUCC
rnacentral:rRNA from 1 species